GUACUCGGGGCAAAAGGAUGUUACACACACUCUAUAAACUGCAGCCCGCAGAUGGUGCGGUAGUGCUCCCAAUGAGAGGUGAUGGCUGAUGGAAAAGCCUGGCCGAAGUGUCUCAGGAAUGCUCUUGACUUCGGCUGUGCUCAGGAAGUGUUUGCUUUCUAGAAAUCCCAAAUCCUGGACCUUCCGCUCCUGGAGCAGAGCAGGAAGGAAGGAAGAGGAGAGGAAGGGAAGGAAGGUUUCAUUCAGAACUGCUUUGAAUGAAAACCACAUGUGCAAUGUGUGCAAGAGGGAUGUGACCAAGCCAGAGCCUUAGAAAAGCCAUAGCUAUACAAGCGAAGUGAGGGCCACUCAUCUCUAGAGCCAGCAUGGAGAAUGGUGCUGUCUACCCACGCAGAUUCACUUCCAGACCCCUGGAAAAUAAAUACACCCAUCUCACAAAGUAUUGCGUCCUGCCAUGGAUCCCAGCCUUGACAGUGGUCUUGCACAACACCAAGCUGCUGCAUUGGAUCAACCUUUUCUUUUUUUUUUUUAAUCUUGUCUUGUUAAUAUUUGUGACUAUAUUUGUCCCCUUCCUUUGAACUGUAUCUUCUCAAGUCGGGCGAAUUACAGCACAGCAUGUCAUGUCAGGCAUAAAGUGUGGAAACAUGACAAUAUUAAUGGAAUGGAAUGGAAUAUUGUUUGAUAGGCUCCAGGGGAAAGACACUUAAUGUAAAAUCUAAAAAUAAAAAUUUUAAAAAGUGA